rnacentral:lncRNA from 1 species
CCUCAAUAAUCCUCCACAAAACAUAGGGAAUGUCAUGGAUACUGUGCUACUGCCUAAAUUUCCCCCUUCAAAAAGGGAGAAUUCACGCCCAAUACGGUCAGUCCUUGUUAUGGUUUGGCUCUGUGUCCUUGCCCAAAUCUCAGGUCAUCUCGUAAUCCCCAGUGUUGGAGGUGGGGCCUCGUGGGAGGUGAUUGAAUCAUAGGGCCUGGUGGGAGGUGACUGAAUCACGGAGGUGGAUUUCCCCCUUGGUGCUGUUCUGGUGAAAGGGAGUGAGAUCUCAUGAGAUCCGCUAGUUUAAAAGAGUGUGGCAUCUUCCCCCUCUCCCUCUUGCUUCUGCUCCCGCCAUGUGAGAUGCCUGCUUCCGUUCUGCCUUCCAUAAUGACUGGAAGAUUCCUGAGGCCUCCCCAGAGGCAGAAGCCUCUGUGCUUCCUCUACAGCCGGCAGAACUGCACUGUUGCCAACCCUCGUGGAAAAGAUCUGUUUGUGUUAGCUAUUCAGGCAUGAAUAUUGGAAUUUGAAAACAAAGAACAUGAUCUAGUAAGCUCAUGGGACUUAUCCUUCCAGAGGAAAAUGUUCCCCGUGUCUACACACUGUCCCGCAGCAGAUGCGCUCACCCUUCUACAACCAGAGGUGUGUUCACGCCAGAUGUGUUCUGUUUAGGGCUGGGGUCAGCAAGUAUAUUUGCGUCUUAGAUAAAAUAACUUAGUGCCAACGUGUGUCUGAGUCACGGAGCCAUGAAUUUGGAUUCCAUACCACCCAGGCAGGCUGAAACUCUGGGUAGAUGUGGAAAGGGUUUAAAGAUAUUUCAGAAUGUCACAAAGAACUGUGAGCUCUGAGAAAACUCUAUCAUGAGUUUAGUGCAAAGUACUUGAGCACAGGAAAUCCCAUCAGAGGAGAGCUCAGUUUGGUCCAGUGAAAUUCCAUGAACAGAAUCCUGAGACGCCUCUGGGCUUCGGUUCAGGUAACUUCAAUACAGAGAAGAGGUUGCAAAAGAAGGUUCUUCUCACCAAGUCAAUCCUAAGCCAAAAGAACAAAGCUGGAGGCAUCACGAUACCUGACUUCAAACUAUACUACAAGGCUACAGUAACCAAA